AUCUCUUCCUUUCUCUCUCUAAACUACCUCCAUCCCCCCAAUAAGAUCUUAUAUGAUCUGCAGAAUCUUCAUGGCAUACCAAAUCUCACAACAGAAUAAACAAUGUUAGAGUACAUCUUUUUCAACUGGUAAUCUCCUCCUCCUCCUCCUUUUAAUCCCCAAACAGAUCUGAGCAAAUUAAACAAGACAAAUUGGUUUCUGCUCGUAACUGAACCAUCAGACAAUCAAUAGUGAGCAAAUAACUUCCAAACCACUAAACAUCUGAUCUAUUAAAGGUAAAGACAGAUUAUACUACAGUCUACUAAAAGGAAUCAAAUUAAGUACUAAUCACCGUUGUUGCGAACAAGGUAAUCUCUUUCGGAAGAAGAUAAGAGCGAAUGAACAUCGUGAACGUCAACUUCGACAGUAUCCGCCAUUGUUAGAGCACUGAAGAAAUUAGAAAUUCGAUUGUGCCGAUGAUGUUGCAGUUUGGGGUUUUAUUAAGCACAAAAUGUGGGGCGGCACUGGUGGUGGAGCUAAGGCAGUGGUGGAGAUGGUGGCACUUCGGUGGUGUAUAGAGAGAGAAAGUGCACUGGUGUGUGUGUGCUAGUGUGUGUUAUAUAUAUGUAAUUAUAUUUAUAUAUGUUAUAUAUUAAAGCUUUAUGCAUUA
rnacentral:lncRNA from 1 species